CAGAAUCUAAAUUGCAUCUCAAUGCCAUUGCCAGUAAGAGCGGAAGAGGAAUCAAAUGACCAAGAGGAGAAAGAUGGAGUUGUUGGCGCCAUUAAAUCACUGUUUGAUCGUAGUGAGAAAACCAAAUCUGNNNNNUUGCCCAGGGCUUACCUCAAGUCAGCACGAGAGGUUGUAAAGACACUGCGUGAGUCAUUAAAUGAAGACCCCAAGGAUAUUGCCAAAUUUAGACGGACUGCAGAUGCAGCAAAAGAGUCGAUUAGAGAAUAUCUGAGCAGUUGGAGAGGACAAGAAAAGGUGGCGCAUGAGGAAUCAUAUGUGGAACUAGAAAAGGCAAUCAGAUGUCUGGCCAGUUUCUACUCGAAGGCUGGCCCAUCUGCACCACUUCCUGAAAAGGUCAGGUCUGAGAUAUUAAAUGAUUUGAGUACGGCUGAAGAAUUUUUGUAGCAGAUGAGCAACUCAGUGCAGAUUUCAGGAUUGCAGAUAGGCUGCAUUGUCUAUGUGCAAUCAAUCUUUAUUUCAUAUUAAAAAGCAGGGAAAACAAAAAAGAAAAAAGAAAGAAAGAAAGCUCAGAUCGUGAGUCCAGAUAUGC
rnacentral:misc_RNA from 1 species